UGGGGAAUAUUGCACAAUGGGCGCAAGCCUGAUGCAGCCAUGCCGCGUGUGUGAAGAAGGCCUUCGGGUUGUAAAGCACUUUCAGCGGGGAGGAAGGCGAUAAGGUUAAUAACCUUGUCGAUUGACGUUACCGACAGAAGAAGCACCGGCUAACUCCGUGCCAGCAGCCGCGGUAAUACGGAGGGUGCAAGCGUUAAUCGGAAUUACUGGGCGUAAAGCGCACGCAGGCGGUUGAUUGAGUCAGAUGUGAAAUCCCCGGGCUUAACCCGGGAAUUGCAUCUGAUACUGGUCAGCUAGAGUCGUGUAGAGGGGGGUAGAAUUCCAUGUGUAGCGGUGAAAUGCGUAGAGAUGUGGAGGAAUACCGGUGGCGAAGGCGGCCCCCUGGACAAAGACUGACGCUCAGGUGCGAAAGCGUGGGGAGCAAACAGG
rnacentral:rRNA from 1 species